AUAAACUGACAUGGGGCGAAGCCUGAAAAUGCCGCUCCCGAAAGUAAUAAAAACCUGAGAUUAGGCAUAUUGCACUUGUUUAUUAAGUAUACAUGAAUUUUAAAUCAAUAUUUUGCGCCCCUUCAAUUUUGCAACAUCAAACAAACACUAGAAGAUCGUGAGGGAAGCCCCGUUACAAAGGCAAGGCUUUCCGACUCAUCCACACCACAGAUUCUGCCGAUACAAAGGCCUGACCCAGAAGAAAUUCUGCGUCACCUGUACCAUCAAGAUCAAGAAGAGACAGAACCCAGACGAGACAACAACACUCACUAAAGCCACUCCCUCCUAACAAGCUAACAUGGUGCCGCCGCGCUGUGCCCCUUCAAAGGAAAUCACAAAAAUGUCUGACAUCUGGCUUUGGAGGUCCAGCGGCACACUGCACACUGCACAUUGCUUGCAUAAACGUGUGUGGAGAGUGCAAGACUGAGAGUGGCAAGGAUGGAGGAUGCGUCAAGACAGAGAGAGACAAGGAUGGAGGAUGCUGCAACAUUCACAGCAUCAUUGCUUCAUGCUUUCUUGUUUUGUGGAAAGUAGUGCACACAGUUUUGACCGGAGGAUUGUAUGUCAUCACUCAUAUUGAUAGAUUGUGACAUUGUGUUGACCCUUGUGCAUCGAAUCACUUCAUUACAUGUCAGCGUAUAUUUAGCUACAGGGAGUAAGGCAGACCUGUUCUGACAGGGACUGUUGCCAUGUGUGUACCGGCCUCAUGGCAAUGAUAGGUGGAGUGAGACAGAUCUGUUCAUACAAGCACUGCUGCCAUGUGUGUCCAGGCCUUAUGUUUCCUCUUGCAACUUUCCUCAUUUUUCUUUCUCUAAUACUUUUGAAAUAAUUUUGUAAGUUGAAGACAUUCCUAGAGUAAUGUAAAACUAGAAAAAAUUGUAGAGUUGAAAUUUGCAAAAAUUGUACGAAUUCUGCUAGUCAAAUGUAAAAAUUGCUGAGUUGAAAAUUGUAAAAAUUUUCUAAUGUACAAAUUCUAGUAUUGCGCUGUAAAAUUUUUAGUAUUGCGCUGUAAAAUUUUGUAAAAUUUUUAGUAUUGUGCUGUAAAAUUUUUAGUAUUGUGCUGUAAAAUUUCUAAGUUGAAAAUUUUGGUAGAGUUUUCAAUUGUACAAAUUCUAGUAUUGCAUUGUAAAAUUUUCUAAAUUGUAAAAAUUUUCUAGUGUACAAAUUCUAGUAUUGGGCUGUAAAAUUUUUAGUUGAAAAUUUGGGUAGAGUUUUCCAUUGUACAAAUUCUAGUUAGUAUUGCAUUGUAAAAUUUUCUAAGUUGAAAAUUUUGGCAGAGUUUUGAGUUGUCAAAAUGUGUUGUGGAUUGAAUAAAAGGAAGGGAGACUC
rnacentral:misc_RNA from 1 species